rnacentral:lncRNA from 1 species
AGGAGGGACGUAUCGCUCGCUGUUGCGCCGCGUAAACUCGCCGGAGUUCGAAAAAUAUAGCGCAACCUACGCAUCUAACACGUUUUGAUACUAGAUAAUGAAAGCAUAUUUAAUUCAGACUAUCAGACUCAAUUGAAUACCAGUACAAAUAAUAUGGAAAAUGAAGAUACAAUACAUGGAAGACGAAUUAUAGAUUUUAGUUUUUUUAUAAAUCAAUUACUUAUAAUUGAUAAACAUGGUGAAAAGUUUGGUUGUCGAUUAAAUAAUUUAAAAAUUGUAAACGGUUACUUGUUUAUUGUAACUCAAUCGAGCUAUUCUAGGUUAUAAAAUUCAUCGGUACAAAGAAUAUUUCAUAAACUAUAAAAACAAUAAAUUAUUUCGGAAAAAAGUGGCAAAGUCUCAAGUUUGUUUGUGCCGCGUGGCGGUCCGCAGGUGUGCGUUGCGUAUUUCACUAGACGCACACAUGCGCAAGUGCUGCCGGCUAUCGUCUAAUUUACCUACUACUGAGCAAUUCGAUUUUGUAAUAGCGCUCUUAACGCAG